ACAUGUCUUUAGUCAAUUUAGUAUAAGGUUUAGCCUGCCCACUGAGAAUAUUGAAGGGCCGCGGUAAUUUGACCGUGCGAAGGUAGCAUAAUCAUUAGCCACUUAAUUAGUGGAUGGGAUGAAGGGCUGGAUGAAGGAUGAACUGUCUUUUUAAUAAGAGAUUAAAUUUUACUUUUAAGUGAAAAGGCUUUAAUAAUAUAAAGUGAAGAUAAGACCCUAUAAAACUUUAUAUAGAUACAAUCUUGUUUGUCAUAUUUUGUAAAAGACAGUAAGAUCGGACUAUAUUUUGUUGGGGCGACAGGAAUAGAUAAAGUAUCUGUUUUUAUAAUAAGUUAGUGAUGGUUAAUUAAUGAUCCUUUAGUAGAGAUUAAAAGAUUAAGUUACUUUAGGGAUAACAGCGUAAUUUUCUUUGAGAGUUCUUAUCGACAAGAGUAGUUGCGACCUCGAUGUUGAAUUAAAAUUAUUCUAAUAAAUGCAGCAGCUUAUCUA
rnacentral:rRNA from 1 species